rnacentral:lncRNA from 1 species
GAAGGACUUGCUCAGUUGCAUACGCUGCCAACAUUUCAGGUGAAAUUCAAGAUUAUGGGAGUUGCUCUAUCUGGUCUUCAAAUUGAUAAGCUGGACGUGAAAAACACACCAAGCGCUCCAUACAAAGGUUUUAGAGCCCAGAGUCAAGCUGGAAAGUAUGAGGUCAGAUCGUAGGUGCUUUCAGAGGACAUCUGUUAAUUUUUGCUCUUAAAGCAAACGAAUACGGACCUGGUGCAUGGGCUGUCAACGCAUCAUGAUUAUCAUUUGAUGAUCCAGAGCCAGCUUGAUUUGCGUCACCUUAUCCUGUUC